AUUUCAAAAAAAGAAUAACAUGGUUCCAACAGAUAUUUGAGGGUAAAAAGAAAAGUUUUUAUACAUACUGACAUGCUGACUGCAUGUCUAUAGCAAAAUAUUAAAAAAAAAAAAUCACAGUAUGCUGCUAUAUGAAAAAAAUUAUGUACAUGUUCAUUCAGUUGACAAUUCAAAGAUAUUGUCUUAAAUAGUUCUUAUUUUAUUGUAAAAGUUAUAACCCUGUCUGUCUCAGUGUCUGACUUUUUUUCUCAAUUUUAUGAGAAACUAAAAAAGAAGAUGUGGUACAAAUGUAUGAUUGCCAAUGAGACAACUCUUCACAAGUGACCAAAUGACACAGAAAUUAACACAACAGCUAUAGGUCACCAUAUGGCAUGUUAUUUUUUUUCUGCUGUGUUUUCAGGUAUUAGUUUUGCUGAUUGGUAAAGUAC
rnacentral:lncRNA from 1 species